AUGAACGCUAGCGACAGGCCUAACACAUGCAAGUCGAGGGGCAGCACAAGGAGCAAUCUGAGGUGGCGACCGGCGCACGGGUGAGUAACACGUAUGCAACCUGCCUGUAAGCGGGGAAUAACCCGUUGAAAGACGGACUAAUACCGCAUAAUACUAAAUUACUGCAUGGUAAUUUAUUUAAACAUUUAUGGCUUACAGAUGGGCAUGCGCAUAAUUAGCUAGUUGGAGAGGUAACGGCUCCCCAAGGCAACGAUCAUUAGGGGUUCUGAGAGGAAGGUCCCCCACACUGGUACUGAGACACGGACCAGACUCCUACGGGAGGCAGCAGUGAGGAAUAUUGGUCAAUGGACGAGAGUCUGAACCAGCCAAGUCGCGUGCAGGAAGAAUGUCCCUAUGGAUUGUAAACUGCUUUUGCAGGGGAAUAAAGUGCAUCACGUGUGAUGUUUUGUAUGUACUCUGCGAAUAAGGAUCGGCUAACUCCGUGCCAGCCGCGGC
rnacentral:rRNA from 1 species